rnacentral:lncRNA from 1 species
CUCAGUGUAAAGGAUUCAUCUCUCUCUUUUUUUUUUUUUUCGGUACGCGGGCCUCUCACUGUUGUAGCCUCUCCCGUUGCGGAGCACAGGCUCCGGACGCGCAGGCUCAGCGGGCACGGCUCACGGGCCCAGCCGCUCCGCGGCACGUGGGAUCUUCCCGGACCGGGGCACGAACCCGUGUCCCCUGCAUCGGCAGGGGGACUCUCAACCACUGCGCCACCAGGGAAGCCCAAGGAUUCAUCUCUUAAGGCUGUGUGACACUCAAUGAGAUAAUGCACAUUAGCGACUUAGCACAGGAGUGAGUAGUGGCCAACAUAUGAUAGGUGUUAUUUUAUUAUCAUGAUUACCAUUUGUCGACAGACAAGGGAUGAGCCCUUCCCGAUGUCCAGCUCUGAGCGAGGCGCCACCAUGAAACCAUCACCAGCAUUAGCACCAGCAUCAUCAGAGCUUCUGCUCCCGCACGAGCCCUGAGCUUAGCAGAGGAGAAGGCAGCUAGGAGACAAGAACCCACACAGGUCAAGCGCAACCUGCUGAACGUGUCCUACCACAUCGCGCAGUACGCGGACGUCAUCUCCGACCUGGGCAGGCAGAUGAAGCACCCCGAGGCCAAGGUGGAGAAGCAGGGGAAGGAGAAGAGAAGCAUCCCAGCGGCCGGGAUGCUCAAGGUAGGGCCGUACACGCACGCAGUGCCUCCUGCUGCUGGGCCAUCCGGGACACCAGAGGCCCACUGCGCCCUCCUGCCCUUCCUGGAGCGGUUUCUGCACUGAGCACCCCACCCGGGGCGACCGCCGAGCCCGGCCUGGCCUUUUUUUAAAACAUAUUUUAUGUAUUUAUUUUUUUGGCUGCGUCGGGUCUUAGUUGCCGCACGCGGGGUCUUUCGUCGUGGCACACGGGCUUCUCUCUAGUUGUAGAGUGCAGGCUCAGUAGAUGUGGCGCGCGGGUUUAGCUGUCCUGUGGGAUGUGGGAUCCUAGGUUAACCAGUGGCCACCAGGGAAGUCCCCCGUGGCCUCAGGGAGCAGCCGUCUCUCUGCUCUCUUCUAAUCUCUUCCUUCUUAUCUUUCUUCAGCUUUUCUUCUUGCUGCCUAUUUUUUUUUUCCUCCCAAAUCAGUUUUUUUUUUUUAAUCUUUUCAUUUUGGAAUAAUUUUAAAUUUAGAAAAAUUGGCAAAGAUACUACAGAGUUCCCAGCUUCCCCUAAUGUUAGCGUCUAGGGUCUUCCAAAAAAGUGCAUUGAGGCAAAACUCACACAACAUAAAAUUCACCAUCUUAAAGCAAACCCUUCGUUCAGCACAUCCACCGUGUUGGGCAGCCGCUGUUUCUGUCUUGUUCUGAAACGUUUCCACCCCAACGUGAAACCCAUGCCCGCUAGGCAGCUUCUCUCCAUCCUUCCCUUCUCCCC